AUUGAACGCUGGCGGCAGGCCUAACACAUGCAAGUCGAGCGAGCGGCGGACGGGUGAAUAAUGUAUGGGGAUCUGCCCGAUGGAGGGGGAUAACUACUGGAAACGGUGGCUAAUACCGCAUACUAUCGGAUGAACCCAUAUGGGAUUAGAUAGUAGGUGGGGUAAAGGCUCACCUAGGCGACGAUCACUAGCUGGUCUGAGAGGCUGAACAGCCACACUGGGACUGAGACACGGCCCAGACGCCUACGGGAGCCAGCAGAGGGAAAUAUUGCACAAUGGGCGCAAGCCUGAUGCAGCCAUGCCGCGUGGAGGAAGAAGGCCUUAGGGUUGUAAAGUACUGUCAGCGGGGAGGCGUUACCCGCAGAAGAAGCACCGGCUAACUCCGUGCCAGCAGCCGCGGUAAUUC
rnacentral:rRNA from 1 species